GACGAACGCUGGCGGCGCGCUUAACACAUGCAAGUCGAGCGAUGAAACUUUAACAGAACCCUUCGGGGCGAAGAUAUAGUGGAUUAGCGGCGGACGGGUGAGUAACACGUGAGUAACCUGCCUUAGACAUUGGGAUAGCCUCGGGAAACCGGGAUUAAUACCAAAUAAAAUCAUAAUGACACAUGUCAUAACGAUCAAAACUCCGGUGGUCUAAGAUGGACUCGCGUCCCAUUAGCUAGUUGGUAGAGUAAAAGCCUACCAAGGCGACGAUGGGUAGCCGGGCGGGGGGGGUGAACGGCCGGAUUGGAACUGAGGAACAGUCCAAACUCGUACGGGAGGGAGCAGUGGGGAAUAUUGCACGAGGGAGGGAGCUCUGAUAAAGCGGCGCGGGGGGAACGGGGAAGGCGGUCGAAUAGUAAAGUUCUUUUAUAUGAGAAGAUAAUGACGGUACCAUAAGAAAAAGCCCCGGCUAACUACGUG
rnacentral:rRNA from 1 species